rnacentral:rRNA from 1 species
UAAGCAUAUCAAUAAGCGGAGGAAAAGAAACCAACAGGGAUUGCCCUAGUAACGGCGAGUGAAGCGGCAACAGCUCGAAUUUGAAAUCUGGCUCCCUUUGGGGGUCCGAGUUGUAAUCUGCAGAGGAUGCUUCGGGCGAGGUUCCCACCGAGUUCCCUGGAACGGGACGCCACAGAGGGUGAGAGCCCCGUAUGGUGGGAGGCCAAGCCUGUGUGAAGCUCCUUCGACGAGUCGAGUAGCUUGGGAAUGCUGCUCUAAAUGGGAGGUAGACUUCUUCUAAAGCUAAAUACCGGCCAGAGACCGAUAGCGCACAAGUAGAGUGAUCGAAAGAUGAAAAGCACUUUGAAAAGAGGGUCAAACAGUACGUGAAAUUGUUGAAAGGGAAGCGCCUAUGGCCAGACUUGCGCCGGGCCGAUCAUUCAGCGGUCUCCGCUGGUGCACUCGGCCCGUUGCAGGCCAGCGUCGGCUGUCCUGGGGGGAUAAAAGCAGUGGGAACGUAGCUCCCUCCGGGGAGUGUUAUAGCCCGCUGCACAAUACCUCCGGGGCGGCCGAGGUCCGCGCCCUCGUGGCAAGGACGCUGGCGUAAUGGCCAUCAGCGACCCGUCUUGAAACACGGACCAAGGAGUCGAGGUUUUACGCGAGUGUUCGGGUGUCAAGCCCCAGCGCGUAAUGAAAGUGAACGUAGGUGGGAGCCUUCGGGCGCACCAUCGACCGAUCCUGAUGUCUUCGGAUGGAUUUGAGUAAGAGCGUAAAGCCUCGGACCCGAAAGAUGGUGAACUAUGCCUGUAUAGGGUGAAGCCAGAGGAAACUCUGGUGGAGGCUCGCAGCGGUUCUGACGUGCAAAUCGAUCGUCAAAUAUGGGCAUGGGGGCGAAAGACUAAUCGAACCAUCUAGUAGCUGGUUACCGCCGAAGUU